CCCAGACUCCUACGGGAGGCAGCAGUGGGGGAUAUUGCACAAUGGGGGGAACCCUGAUGCAGCGACGCCGCGUGGGUGAAGAAGCGCCUCGGCGCGUAAAGCCCUGUCAGCAGGGAAGAAAAUGACGGUACCUGAAGAAGAAGCCCCGGCUAACUACGUGCCAGCAGCCGCGGUAAUACGUAGGGGGCAAGCGUUAUCCGGAUUUACUGGGUGUAAAGGGGGCGCAGACGGCGAUGCAAGCCAGGAGUGAAGAACCGGGGCCGAACCCCGGGACUGCUCUUGGAACUGCGUGGCUGGAGUGCAGGAGGGGCAGGCGGAAUUCCUGGUGUAGCGGUGAAAUGCGUAGAUAUCAGGAGGAACACCGGUGGCGAAGGCGGCCUGCUGGACUGCAGCUGACGUUGAGGCGCGAAAGCGUGGGGAGCAAACAGGAUUAGAUACCCCAGUAUA
rnacentral:rRNA from 1 species